rnacentral:rRNA from 1 species
AUUGAACGCUGGCGGCGUGCCUAACACAUGCAAGUCGUGCGAGAAAGUCCGCUUCGGUGGACGAGUAGAGCGGCGCACGGGUGAGUAACGCGUGGAUAAUCUGCCUGGAAGAUCGGGAUAACAGCGGGAAACUGCUGCUAAUACCGGAUACGCUUCAUGCGAAUGUAUGAGGGAAAGGUGGCCUCUGCUUGCAAGCUACCACUUCCAGAUGAGUCCGCGUCCCAUUAGCUAGUUGGCGGGGUAAUGGCCCACCAAGGCGACGAUGGGUAGCUGGGCUGAGAGGAUGAUCAGCCACACUGGGACUGAAACACGGUCCAGACUCCUACGGGAGGCAGCAGUGGGGAAUAUUGCGCAAUGGGGGAAACCCUGACGCAGCGACGCCGCGUGUGGGAAGAAGGCCUUCGGGUCGUAAACCACUGUCAAGAGGGAAGAACCGCAUGGGGUCGAAUAGGCCUCGUGCCUGACGGUACCUCUGGAGGAAGCACCGGCUAACUCCGUGCCAGCCGCCGCGGUAA